GACGGGGGCCCGCACAAGCGGUGGAGCAUGUGGUUUAAUUCGAUGCAACGCGAAGAACCUUACCUGGGCUUGACAUCCCGGGAAUCUCCUGGAAACAGGGAGUGCCCUUCGGGAACCCGGUGACAGGUGCUGCAUGGCUGUCGUCAGCUCGUGUCGUGAGAUGUUGGGUUAAGUCCCGCAACGAGCGCAACCCUUGUCUUUAAUUGCCAUCAUUUAGUUGGGCACUUUAAAGAGACUGCCGGUGUUAAGCCGGAGGAAGGUGGGGAUGACGUCAAGUCCUCAUGGCCUUUAUGCCCAGGGCUACACACGUGCUACAAUGGGCGGUACAAAGAGAAGCAACCUCGUGAGAGUGAGCAAAUCGCAGAAAGCCGGCCCCAGUUCAGAUUGAGGGCUGAAACUCGCCCUCAUGAAGUCGGAAUCGCUAGUAAUCGCGUAUCAGCAGGUCGCGGUGAAUACGUUCCCGGGUCUU
rnacentral:rRNA from 1 species